UACGUAGGGGGCAAGCGUUGUUCGGAUUUACUGGGCGUAAAGGGCGCGUAGGCGGCGUGACAAGUCACUUGUGAAAUCUCCGAGCUUAACUCGGAACGGUCAAGUGAUACUGUUGUGCUAGAGUGCAGAAAGGGCAACUGGAAUUCUUGGUGUAGCGGUGAAAUGCGUAGAUAUCAAGAGGAACACCAGAGGCGAAGGCGAGUUGCUAGGCUGACACUGACGCUGAGGCGCGAAAGCUAGGGGAGCGAACGGG
rnacentral:rRNA from 1 species